rnacentral:rRNA from 1 species
CCUACGGGAGGCAGCAGUGGGGAAUCUUGCGCAAUGGGCGAAAGCCUGACGCAGCAACGCCGCGUGCGGGAAGAAGGCUUUCGGGCUGUAAACCGCUUUCAGCAGGAACGAAAAUGACGGUACCUGCAGAAGAAGGAGCGGCCAACUAUGUGCCAGCAGCCGCGGUGAUACAUAGGCUUCAAGCGUUGUCCGGAUUUAUUGGGCGUAAAGAGUUCGUAGGCGGUCGAGUAAGUCGGGUGUGAAAAUUCUGGGGCUCAACCCCAGAGACGCCACCCGAUACUGCUUGACUUGAGUUCGAUAGGGGAGUGGGGAAUUCCUAGUGUAGCGGUGAAAUGCGCAGAUAUUAGGAGGAACACCGGUGGCGAAGGCGCCGACUCUGGAUCGAUACUGACGCUGAGGAACGAAAGCAUGGGUAGCAAACAGGAUUAGAUACCCUGGUAGUCCAUGCCGUAAACGGUGGGCACUAGGUGUGGGUUUCUAUUAACGAAAUCCGCGCCGUCGCUAACGCAUUAAGUGCCCCGCCUGGGGAGUACGGUCGCAAGACUAAAACGUCAAAGGAAUUGACGG